GCACAAGCGGUGGAGUAUGUGGUUUAAUUCGACGCAACGCGCAGAACCUUACCUAGACUUGACAUCCCGGGGAUUUUCUGGAAACAGAGAAGUGCUUUAGCAAUAAAGAACCCGGUGACAGGUGCUGCAUGGCUGUCGUCAGCUCGUGUCGUGAGAUGUUGGGUUAAGUCCCGCAACGAGCGCAACCCUCGCCUUUAGUUGCCAGCAUUCAGUUGGGCACUCUAGAGGGACUGCCGGUGUCAAACCGGAGGAAGGUGGGGAUGACGUCAAGUCCUCAUGGCCUUUAUGUCUAGGGCUACACACGUACUACAAUGGCCGGUACAAAGGGCAGCCACUCAGCGAUGAGGCGCUAAUCCCAUAAAGCCGGUCUCAGUCCGGAUCGCAGUCUGCAACUCGACUGCGUGAAGUUGGAAUCGCUAGUAAUCGUAGAUCAGCAUGCUACGGUGAAUACGUUCCCGGGCCUU
rnacentral:rRNA from 1 species